AGUGAGGUGAUUCCAAAUUGGGAAAAGAGUACCUCCAAGCUGUAUAUUGUCACCCUGCUUAUUUAACGUAUAUGCAGAGUACAUCAUUCGAAAUGCUGGGCUGGAUGACUCACAAGCUAGAAUCAAGAUUGCCAGCAGAAAUAUCAACAACCUCAGAUAUG